AGGACGAACGCUGGCGGCGUGCUUAACACAUGCAAGUCGAGCGGUAAGGCCUUUCGGGGUACACGAGCGGCGAACGGGUGAGUAACACGUGGGUGAUCUGCCCUGCACUUCGGGAUAAGCCUGGGAAACUGGGUCUAAUACCGGAUAUGACCUCCUAUCGCAUGGUGGGUGGUGGAAAGAUUUAUCGGUGCAGGAGUCGGGCCCGCGGCCUAUCAGUCUUGUUGGUGGGUAAUGGCCUACAAGGCGACGACGGUAGCCGACCUGAGAGGGUGACCGGCCACACUGGACUGAGACACGGCCCAGACUCCGUACGGGACGGCAGCGACGGUAGGGGAAUAC
rnacentral:rRNA from 1 species